rnacentral:lncRNA from 1 species
UUUAACCCAUAAGUCAGCCGAGCUACGAAGACUCUGAUUCUCAUAUUCUGAUGAGAUACGUAUACAGUGGAUGCGACAUCCGUGCGAGUCAUUUUCUUUUGACCCCUCUUUUAGUAAAUAGUACAUUAGAUAAACCCACACCCUCUAGACAAGAACAACAAGAGUGGAUCCCGUAGAGUACUAUGGAUGCGUAGGGGUGCUAAUACCUUCCCUCCGCAUAAUCGACUCCCGAAUCCAAAAUUUGGUUGCGAGACCUUGUCAUUU